CACUGCUAAUCUAUCACUGCUAAUCUAUCGCUGCUAAUCUAUUGCUGCUAAUCUAUCACUGCUAAUCUAUUGCUGCUAAUCUAUCUAUCACUGCUAAUCUAUCACUGCCAAUCUACUUACCGCUGCCAAUCUACCUAUCACUGUCAAUCUAUCUACCACUGCCAACCUACCUACCACUGCUAAUCUAUCACUGCUAAUCUAUUGCUGCCAAUCUAUAUAGGGUAAAUCAUGGUCCCAUUUGGUCCCAUUUUGUAAAAUGGGAUCAAAUGGAACUGAAACCACUAAUUUAUUAGUAAAACAUGAUCUGAAACUAGAUUUAUAAUAUAAACAGUGUAAAGUGACUAAUUUACUAAACACUAUAUGGAA
rnacentral:sRNA from 2 species